rnacentral:lncRNA from 1 species
UACCCUGGAGGGAGCGAAGUCCUCAGGGGCGGAACCGGAGCGGGGCGCUCAGAGAGAUCCCGCCCGGCUCCCCUCAGCCCUCAGCGGUCCUGCCUUCCCUUCCCGCUGCCUUUCAGCGAUCCUGCCUUCCCUUCCCGCUGCCUUUCAGCGAUCCCGGCUCUCUUCUCACCCGGCUCCCCUCAGCCAUUCCGCCUUCCGCCCUCAGCGAUCCUGCCUUCCCUUCCCGCUGCCUUUCAGCGAUCCCGCCUUCCCUUCCCGCUGCCUUUCAGUGAUCCCGGCUCUCUUCUCACCCAGCUCCGCUCUGCAAUUCCGCCUUCAGCCCUCAGCGAUCCCGCCUUCCCUUCCCGCUGCCUUUCAGCGGUCCUGCCUUCCCUUCCCGCUGCCUUUCAGCGAUCCUGCCUUCCCUUCCCGCUGCCUUUCAGCGAUCCUGCCUUCCCUUCCCGCUGCCUUUCAGCGAUCCCGCCUUCCCUUCCCGCUGCCUUUCAGCGAUCCCGGCUCUCUUCUCACCCAGCUCCCCUCAGCCAUUCCGCCUUCAACCCUCAGCGAUCCUGCCUUCCCUUCCCGCUGCCUUUCAGCGAUCCCGGCUCUCUUCUCACCCAGCUCCACUUUGCAAUUUUGCCUUUCGCUCCCGCUCCCCUCAGCGAUCCCGCCUCCCUUCGCGCCCGGCUCUCUUCAGGGAUCCCUUCCCGCCCGGUUUCCCAACCGUUCCCCUCAGCAGUCCCGCCUUCCGCCCUUCCUUCCCAUUCCCUUCAGCAACCCUGCCUUCCUUCUUGUUCCCCUCAGGGAUCCCGCCUCCCUUCGCGCCCGGCUCUCCCCAGCGACCCGGCCUCCCUCAGGGAUCCCUUCCCGCCCGAUUCCCUAACCGUUCCAAUCAGCAAUCCCGCCUUCCGCCCCUUCUUCCCGUUCCUUUCAGCAACCCUGCCUUCCUUCCCGUUUUCCCUAGCAAUCCUCCCUUCCUUCCCGCUCCCCUCAGCGAUCCCGCCUCCCUUCGCGCUCGGAUCUCCUCAGCUACGCGGCCUCCCUUACCGCCUCCCUCAGGGAACCCGCUUUCCCUUCCCACCCGGUUCCCUAACCGUUCCCCUCAGCAAUCCCGCCCUGUCUUCCCAUUCUCCUCAGCCAUACCGCCUUCCUUUCCGUUUCCCUCAGCAAUUCCGCCUUCAGCCAUCCCACCUUCCGCCCUUUCUUCCCGCUCCCCUCAGUGAUCUCGCCUUCCCUUCCUCGCUCCUGCCCGCCUUCCCUUCCCUUCCCUUCCCUUCCCUUCCCUUCCCUUCCCUUCCCUUCCCUUCCCUUCCCUUC